rnacentral:rRNA from 1 species
UAGGGAAUCUUCCACAAUGGACGAAAGUCUGAUGGAGCAACGCCGCGUGAGUGAAGAAGGGUUUCGGCUCAUAAAACUCUGUUGUUAAAGAAGAACAUAUCUGAGAGUAACUGUUCAGGUAUUGACGGUAUUUAACCAGAAAGCCACGGCUAACUACGUGCUAG